GCCUCAUUGGCUCAGAUACAGAGCGUCUGACUGGUAUAAAGAGGUCGCUUGUUUGAUUCCAGUAUGAGGCA
rnacentral:tRNA from 1 species